UACGUAGGGGGCGAGCGUUGUCCGGAAUUACUGGGCGUAAAGAGAGCGUAGGCGGCACUACAAGUCUCAUGUGAAAUACCCGGGCUUAACUUGGGGGUUGCAUGGGAAACUGUAGAGCUUGAGUACAGGAGAGGCAAGCGGAAUUCCUAGUGUAGCGGUGAAAUGCAUAGAUAUUAGGAGGAACACCAGUGGCGAAGGCGGCCACCUGGACGACAACUGACGCUGAGGUGCGAAAGCGUGGGUAGCAAACAGG
rnacentral:rRNA from 1 species